UUUUACAAUGUGUUCAUUUGUAAAAUGUUUCAGGCUAACUGCAACUACAUCUGCAGCUCUGGAAACACCUGCGAGAACUCCGGAGCGAGUCUUUCACUCAACGCCAGUUUCAAAAGGCUGCCCAAAGUAAGGAGUGUGGUGUACUGCUUGGAUGGAUUAAGCCCAUCAAGAAUCACUUCUGGUACUCGUCAUUGAAUUGCAAUGGCGAUGAGA